GGUUAAGCGACUAAGCGUACACGGUGGAUGCCCUGGCAGUCAGAGGCGAUGAAGGACGUGCUAAUCUGCGAAAAGCGUCGGUAAGGUGAUAUGAACCGUUACAGCCGGCGAUGUCCGAAUGGGGAAACCCAGUGCAAUUCGUUGCACUAUCGUUUGAUGAAUACAUAGUCAAACGAGGCGAACCGGGGGAACUGAAACAUCUAAGUACCCCGAGGAAAAGAAAUCAACCGAGAUUCCCCCAGUAGCGGCGAGCGAACGGGGAGCAGCCCGGAGUCUGAAUCAGCUUGUGUGUUAGUGGAAGCGUCUGGAAAGUCGCAGGGUACAGGGUGAUACUCCCGUACACUAAAACACACAGGCUGUGAACUCGAAGAGUAGGGCGGGACACGUGGUAUCCUGUCUGAAUAUGGGGGGACCAUCCUCCAAGGCUAAAUACUCCUGACUGACCGAUAGUGAACCAGUACCGUGAGGGAAAGGCGAAAAGAACCCCGGCGAGGGGAGUGAAAAAGAACCUGAAACCGUGUACGUACAAGCAGUAGGAGCCCACUUGUUGGGUGACUGCGUACCUUUUGUAUAAUGGGUCAGCGACUUAUAUUCUGUAGCAAGGUUAACCGUAUAGGGGAGCCGCAGGGAAACCGAGUCUUAACUGGGCGUUAAGUUGCAGGGUAUAGACCCGAAACCCGGUGAUCUAGCCAUGGGCAGGUUGAAGGUUGGGUAACACUAACUGGAGGACCGAACCGACUAAUGUUGAAAAAUUAGCGGAUGACUUGUGGCUGGGGGUGAAAGGCCAAUCAAACCGGGAGAUAGCUGGUUCUCCCCGAAAGCUAUUUAGGUAGCGCCUCGUGAAUUCAUCUUCGGGGGUAGAGCACUGUUUCGGCUAGGGGGUCAUCCCGACUUACCAACCCGAUGCAAACUACGAAUACCGAAGAAUGUUAUCACGGGAGACACACGGCGGGUGCUAACGUCCGUCGUGAAGAGGGAAACAACCCAGACCGCCAGCUAAGGUCCCAAAGUCAUGGUUAAGUGGGAAACGAUGUGGGAAGGCCCAGACAGCCAGGAUGUUGGCUUAGAAGCAGCCAUCAUUUAAAGAAAGCGUAAUAGCUCACUGGUCGAGUCGGCCUGCGCGGAAGAUGUAACGGGGCUAAACCAUGCACCGAAGCUGCGGCAGCGACACUAUGUGUUGUUGGGUAGGGGAGCGUUCUGUAAGCCGUUGAAGGUGGCCUGUGAGGGUUGCUGGAGGUAUCAGAAGUGCGAAUGCUGACAUAAGUAACGAUAAUGCGGGUGAAAAACCCGCACGCCGGAAGACCAAGGGUUCCUGUCCAACGUUAAUCGGGGCAGGGUGAGUCGACCCCUAAGGCGAGGCCGAAAGGCGUAGUCGAUGGGAAACAGGUUAAUAUUCCUGUACUUGGUGUUACUGCGAAGGGGGGACGGAGAAGGCUAUGUUGGCCGGGCGACGGUUGUCCCGGUUUAAGCGUGUAGGUGUGUGUUCCAGGUAAAUCCGGUUCACUUUAACACUGAGGCGUGAUGACGAGGCACUACGGUGCUGAAGUGACAAAUGCCCUGCUUCCAGGAAAAGCCUCUAAGCAUCAGGUAACAUCAAAUCGUACCCCAAACCGACACAGGUGGUCAGGUAGAGAAUACCAAGGCGCUUGAGAGAACUCGGGUGAAGGAACUAGGCAAAAUGGUGCCGUAACUUCGGGAGAAGGCACGCUGAUAUGUAGGUGAAGUGGUUUACCCAUGGAGCUGAAAUCAGUCGAAGAUACCAGCUGGCUGCAACUGUUUAUUAAAAACACAGCACUGUGCAAACACGAAAGUGGACGUAUACGGUGUGACGCCUGCCCGGUGCCGGAAGGUUAAUUGAUGGGGUUAUCCGUAAGGAGAAGCUCUUGAUCGAAGCCCCGGUAAACGGCGGCCGUAACUAUAACGGUCCUAAGGUAGCGAAAUUCCUUGUCGGGUAAGUUCCGACCUGCACGAAUGGCGUAAUGAUGGCCAGGCUGUCUCCACCCGAGACUCAGUGAAAUUGAACUCGCUGUGAAGAUGCAGUGUACCCGCGGCAAGACGGAAAGACCCCGUGAACCUUUACUAUAGCUUGACACUGAACACUGGUCCUUGAUGUGUAGGAUAGGUGGGAGGCUUUGAAGUGUGGACGCCAGUCUGCAUGGAGCCAUCCUUGAAAUACCACCCUUUAAUGGCUGGUGUUCUAACGUGGGCCCGUAAUCCGGGUUGCGGACAGUGUCUGGUGGGUAGUUUGACUGGGGCGGUCUCCUCCUAAAGAGUAACGGAGGAGCACGAAGGUCAGCUAAUCCUGGUCGGACAUCAGGAGGUUAGUGCAAUGGCAUAAGCUGGCUUGACUGCGAGCGUGACGGCGCGAGCAGGUGCGAAAGCAGGUCAUAGUGAUCCGGUGGUUCUGAAUGGAAGGGCCAUCGCUCAACGGAUAAAAGGUACUCCGGGGAUAACAGGCUGAUACCGCCCAAGAGUUCAUAUCGACGGCGGUGUUUGGCACCUCGAUGUCGGCUCAUCACAUCCUGGGGCUGAAGUAGGUCCCAAGGGUAUGGCUGUUCGCCAUUUAAAGUGGUACGCGAGCUGGGUUUAGAACGUCGUGAGACAGUUCGGUCCCUAUCUGCCGUGGGCGCUGGAGAAUUGAGGGGGGCUGCUCCUAGUACGAGAGGACCGGAGUGGACGCAUCACUGGUGUUCGGGUUGUCAUGCCAAUGGCAUUGCCCGGUAGCUAAAUGCGGAAGAGAUAAGUGCUGAAAGCAUCUAAGUACGAAACUUGCCCCGAGAUGAGUUCUCCCUGACUCCUUGAGAGUCCUGAAGGAACGUUGAAGACGACGACGUUGAUAGGCCGGGUGUGUAAGCGCAGCGAUGCGUUGAGCUAACCGGUACUAAUGAACCGUGAGGCUUAACCUU
rnacentral:rRNA from 1 species